AUGGUCGCGCGUCUCAUGCCUCCGGCGGUGGUCAUCCUGGCCUCGUUCCUCCUCCUCCGGUGUGUCUAUGUGGUGGACGCCGCCCAGUGCGAGCCGGUGGCGUGCGGGAACUUCACCAUCAAGUACCCGUUCUGGCUCGGCGCGCCCCGCCGACCCCCGCCUGAGCCCUCCUGCGGCCACCCGGCCUUCGAGCUCUGGUGCAUCGACGGCAACACCACGGCUUCCAUGAGCGGCUCCCCCAUCCACGUCCACAGCAUCGACUAUGCCACCCGCUCCUUCGUCGUCUACCACAACAGGGUCGCCUCGGGCACGGACGGCGUGUGCCGCGCCGACUUCAACGUCUCGUCCAGCCUAGCCCUCAGCCCGUUCAACAUCAGCCCCACGAACCAGGCCCUGUGCUUCCUCUCCGACUGCAAGAACGGGACGGAGCCGCGCGGGCCCCAGUACGUGAACGCCACCGGCAAGCCCAUCUUCGCGUACCUCGGCGGGAGCUACGACCGGGACAGGCCGCCGGCGAUCGACACCGGGACCUGCACGUACAAUUACCUGCCGGUGCUCGGGACGGAGGCGGCGAUGUCCACGGUGGCCAACUACACCCGGCUCCUGAAGGCCGGGUUCCUGCUGGACUGGGCAGGCGCCGGCAUCGCGACCGGUGGCCAGUGCCGGUACAGCAACGCGAACGCGGCGUUCGGAUGCCUCUGCCCUGGUGACGGGAGGCUGCGCGGCCUGACAUGCGCCGGAAAAGGUCUCCAGUAG
rnacentral:rRNA from 1 species